rnacentral:rRNA from 1 species
UACGGAGGGUGCGAGCGUUGUCCGGAAUCAUUGGGCGUAAAGGGCGCGUAGGUGGCCCCUCAAGCGUGCGGUGAAAGUCAGGGGCUCAACCCCUGAUCGGCCGUGCGAACUGGGGAGCUUGAGCACUGUAGAGGCAGGCGGAAUUCCGGGUGUAGCGGUGGAAUGCGUAGAGAUCCGGAAGGACACCGGUGGCGAAGGCGGUUCUCUGGGCCUGUACUGACGCUGAGGCGCGAAAGCGUGGGGAGCAAACAGG